rnacentral:lncRNA from 1 species
UCCACUGACCUUAGCUUAGUUUCCCUCCGAGUACGGCCUGGCAACUUCUUGACUUUUGGGGCCUCAUCACUGUCCUCACUGAUACUCAAUGAAUCCUCUUCUUCCUCCUCCUCAUCUUCAGCAUUUUCUUCGUCCCAACGGUAUUCCUCAUCUCCUUCUGAGCUGCUGGAUUGCCUUCUCUGUUUUCUUUUUCUUAGGUAUUCCUCAUCAUAUACUGCUUCUCCAACUAUAUCAUCAUCACUGUCAAAGUCAGCCUCGUUAUCCGAAACAGCUUCAACGAAUUCCUUCGCUGAAUAUCGUUGAGGUCUCUGCCUCCGUC